GUGACUCAGGCUAGAAGUUCCAGCCAGACCACCCAGACCAGGUCGGCAGCCGGAUUCGCAGAAUUGAAACGCCCAAGUGGCCUGCAGCAGUUGCUCGUCAUGUCAGCUGACUUUAAGAUCCAAGAUCCGAGACUAGAUACUAGUCUCUAGGAGAUCUCAGAUCCCAGAUCCCAGAUCCGAGUCUGGUCACUUGACCUGCUCCGAAGCCGAGUCGAGAGUGGACUCCUCGAGAGCGGCGAUAUCUGGUCAUAUUUUUCCAACUGCGGGUGCCUGACAUGAACAGUCGUCGUGAGUCCGGAGGUGUCGGCUAAAAAGUCAUAGAGCAUUUGCCUCUACACUGCAAUAUGCUAGAGUCAGUGGGGAAAUUUAGGUUCCUACACAGAGUCUUUCAGGCACUGAGCUUCUCUCAGUGCUCCUGCACAAACUUGGCUGAAAUACCUCAAGUUGAUAUAUACUCAAACAAAUUUGUUGUAAUUAAAGCAAUUUGUGUGCGUUGCCUUCGUUGCACUAGCUGUUGCCAGCUGAUUGAGUGGCAAAUGUUUGCAGCUCGGUUGUUGCUAUUGUUUGUGCAACAGGCGCACUAUGCGAAACAAGUUCGUUGCCCAAGUCAUUCGUUUGAUUUUGAUUUUGAGUUUCGUUCUGUCAGCUGGGUUGCGCAAUCGCAAUAGUCCCCCAAACGCUGGACAGUUCACAAGUCAACAGAAGCGUUGGAAUUGGAAAAACGGCGACUACUACGCUUCGCGAAUGCCACAAAACACAGAAAUGUGGUUGAAAACCACAAAAUCGGAGGCGGGAGCGAAAAUAACAAUGCUAACUGCAGCAAUUGAAAGGAGCUCUGACCUUGACCAACGCCGAACGGAAUUCGUUGGAAAUCAAACUGCAAUCAAUAAACAAAGGGUUCAAACUGGCAGCCAGAGAAAAGGGUGAAAAAAACUAAUUGAUUAAUGAAACCAAAUGGACGUAAAAUGCCUGUCAUACCCAAAAUCAGAUAACAACGCGAGGAAAAUCUGAUUACUGAUUACGAUUUUCUUUAUCCGACAGCACUCGGACUCUGUACUUUUCCUAUACAAACUGUAGAUCUGGGAUCUGGGCUUCGGCUUUUCUGACAGCUUAAUGCCAAAACUCUUGGUGGGCGUGAGGCCUAUCAGGGGGAGGGGAGACUCCGAAAACCCAACAGCUUAAUCCGUGCAAUUAUGUCGCUCGAAAUUUACAUAGAUCGCCUCCAUUGUUCGCCGGGGAGAGAUCGACCUUCGGGCGGUGACCAGGCCUAGAACGGAGAUCGGAGACCGGAGAACUCACCCCAGCCACCAAGGCAAUUUGCCAGGCAGGUCUGCGAAUAUGGUCUGCAUUCAGCUCGGACUCUGACUUGGACUUUUCGCAAUGCAUUCACCAAUGAAAAUGUAAAAUGCAUCGCCGGCGACUGGGCCAGGGGGCGUGGCAGCUUUACAAAAUUUCCGCUUCGGAUUUUACGGAUCGAAUUGGUUUUUAUAUGGUUUUGUAAUUGUUAGCCCAUUGUCAUAGCAAUAAUGGUUGCCAUUGCAUGGGUCUACAUUUUAAACAUUUCUAUAUCCAACUUGUCUUUUGUG